rnacentral:lncRNA from 10 species
GCUAAAUUAUCCCUUAGGAUAGAUACAUUUCCAGGAUUUCAACUGCUGCAUCAGAAUAUAAAAGGUAUAAAGCCAUUUCAUUGAUUCUUUUGUUUUAGUCCCUGAUGCCUCAUCGAAUCCGGAGUCAAGUUCAAUCCUCCUUCUACUGUUCCAGACAGCUCCCCUUUCUCCCUCUCCCACCAGGACCCCUAAUCUCCCCCAUUUCCCCAAUGCUCUUUCUCAGAGCCACGUUUCCUCUCACUACCAGCCAAACCCUACCCUUCUGGAAGUCCACCAGUAAUUUUAACACGUCUCUUGUAUUUGCACUAAAGCCACC